rnacentral:misc_RNA from 1 species
AACUUUCUGCAAUGGAUCACUUGGUUCUGGCAUCGAUGAAGAACGCAGCGAAAUGCGAUAAGUAGGGUGAUUUGCAGAAUUCAGUGAAUCAUCGAAUCUUUGAACGCACAUUGCGCCCUUUGGUAUUCCUUAGGGCAUGCCUGUUCGAGCGUCAUUUAAACCUUCAAGCUCUGCUUGGUGUUGGGCACUGUCACUCCCUCACGGGGGUGCGCCUCAAAUAUAUUGGCGGCCGGUACGUUGGCUUCGAGCGCAGCAGAAACGCGAACUCGUUGACUUUGUAGCGGUCCUCCACAAGUUUUUUACCAUUUUGACCUCGGAUCAGGUAGGGAUACCCGCUGAACUUAAGCAUAUCAAUAAGCGGAGGCU